AUUAACAAAAUAAAGUAAAUACAUUAUCACGAAAGAAGGUGAGCUAAACAAAUAUAUUUGCUUAUAAUACGUGGUAUAGUAUUACUAUAAUAUGUGUUUAGGGGUGAUAGGCUUUUCAAGCUUUCUAAUAACUUGAUUCAUAUGAAAAGUAUUUAGUACCAAGAUAUAUCUAAAAAGUUAAGCUUUUAGGUGAUUAUUAAAGACAUUAAAAAUUUUUAAUAUAGUAUAAUAGCUAAUUAGCAAGAAACCUAAUAUUAAUUAUGUGUUUUUAUAAUUAAUAAUGUGAUAGUGUAAGUUGUUUUAACACCUGAUAAUGUUAAUAUUAGUAUUAAUUUAAAUGUGCUAAAGGAACUCGGCAAAUUAACUGCUCAACUGUUUAUCAAAAACAUAGCUAUAUGAAUUAAUAUAUAGUUAUUUCUGCUCCAUGAUUAUUAAAUAGCCGCAGUACCCUGACUGUGCAAAGGUAGCAUAAUCAGUUGGCUUUUAAUUAGAGUCUGGGAUGAAUGAAAAUAUGGGUGGUAGCUGUCUUUAGGAUACUAGUUUGAAUUUAUUAAGCAAGUGCAAAUACUUGCAAAGUUAAAAAAGACGAGAAGACCCUAGAAACUUAAAGUAGUUUUUGUUGGGGCGACAGAAUUACAUUUAACUAAUUUUAAAAGACAUGACAUUUAAUUGAAAGAGUAAGUUACUCUAGGGAUAACAGCAUAAUUUAAACAGUUUGUGACCUCGAUGUUGGACUAGGUAUUACACCCCUAAAGGAAGGAGUGUAACAUGCUCUGUUCGAGCAAUAUUACCUACAUGAUCUGAGUUCA
rnacentral:rRNA from 1 species